GGCGUCUUGAAGGAAUGGAGUGACAGAGCUGUUGCAGACACUAUCCGGCUGGAGCCUAGGGCCACCACACCUAUCCAGACACAAUCAGGGGUCAUUACAACUGGAGCUGCCUCACACUGCCAUCUUCAAUAGUUAACCAGCAUCAUUGCUCUCGAUGCCGCCACAGGGACACCCCAGAGAAGGGAGGAUCGCGUACUUACCAAGAAGCGGCGCGUUAGGGGCCAUCGUGUCCUGUCGGAGGCGUAACGUCUGUCGCACAGCCUCGCCCUCGUCCCCACACGCGUCAUACACACGCAUACCUGUGCAGGGCAUCAUCAGAAAAAAAAAAAAGAAAACGGCCGCACACCGUACACGCCACGUGAGCCACGACUCCCUUACCGCCAGCCUCAACAACGGUCGCCUCACCGUGACCCAGAAGGCCGCGGCACAGCUGCAGGGCCAGGCCAGGACGCUUCCCAUUGACGUGCAUCGCCAAGCGUCGCCUGAGGCCGAGCAGCAGCAGCAGCAGCAGCAGCAACAACAGAGUACCGACGCGGCGGGAGGGAAGGAAAAGGCCAUUUCAUCAGCUGACGCUCAAAAGGAACAGUUGUGAUCCCGAAGGCUUUGCACAUCUUGAUGCCGAGUGAUGCAAAGAGGAUCCACUGGAACGAUUCUUCAAAACCAUAAAUUAAGUUAGAAUAGGCAAACCAUUACGACCACGUACCAAGAACUCUUUAUCUAUUAUAUACCUUGUAUAAUACAGUAUUGCAAUGAAAAUAAAAAAAAAAUAUACAGACAUGUGUAUGUAUAUCAUCCAUCACUAAUAUAGCACUGAAUUUGUGUGCCACUGAAACAGUUUUAUGUACUCGUACUGUAUACGACAAAGGAGAAAGUAGCCGAGGUUAUCUCCUAAUACUCCCUGGAGCCUUACUCCAGGACGAUGCUGUGUAUUGCGUGAGCUACUACAUUCCUUGAUCCUUAGAUCUUACGCACAGCCGUGGCUGAGAUCCAUCUACUUACUGGCAGUGAGGAUCCAGUGCUUGGUAACACCCGCCGCUCAUUCUCCACACGGACACACCGCACGCCACGCACCAGCGAAAUAGCAUAAGUUCUCCCAGAUAUCAACUCAUGAGUAAAUAGUCAGUCACACGUUACAGACGAGCACAUAAGUCUAUCUAAAUCACCAACUUUGCAUUCAAGUUUCCUUGUUCUGUUGAGAGAUAUUCUCUCUCUAUCUUGUUCUUCACACGCAACUCACCAGUAGUUGUAAAUAAAUACCUUUGUUAAAGACCGAUAGGUAUUGUGGUAUCUCUCUCUCUCUCUCUCUCUCUCUCUCUCUCUCUCUCUCUCUCUCUCUCUCUCUCUCUCUCUCUCUCUCUCUCUCUCUCUCUCUCCUUUCUUAUA